GGAAUUGUGGCUCAGUGGUAGAGCACUUGCCUUGCAAGCAUGAGACAUUGGGUUCGAUUCUCAGCACCG
rnacentral:tRNA from 1 species